AACGAACGCUGGCGGCAGGCUUAACACAUGCAAGUCGAACGCCCCGCAAGGGGCGUGGCCGACGGGUGAGUAACGCGUGGGAACAUACCCUUUUCUACGGAAUAGCUCUGGGAAACUGGAAUUAAUACCGUAUACGCCCUACGGGGGAAAGAUUUAUCGGGGAAGGAUUGGCCCGCGUUGGAUUAGCUAGUUGGUGGGGUAAAGGCCUACCAAGGCGACGAUCCAUAGCUGGUCUGAGAGGAUGAUCAGCCACAUUGGGACUGAGACACGGCCCAAACUCCUACGGGAGGCAGCAGUGGGGAAUAUUGGACAAUGGGCGCAAGCCUGAUCCAGCCAUGCCGCGUGAGUGAUGAAGGCCUUAGGGUUGUAAAGCUCUUUCACCGAUGAAGAUAAUGACGGUAGUCGGAGAAGAAGCCCCGGCUAACUUCGUG
rnacentral:rRNA from 1 species